GCCCGCGUAGCUCAAACGGAGAGAGCGCCUGCUUACGAAGCAGGAGGUUGCUGGUUCGAGUCCAGCCGCGGGUGCAA
rnacentral:tRNA from 3 species